CUCUCAUCGCCGUCCCCAUCUUUGUUCUUUCUCGUAUCCAAGUCUCCAUUUUCCUCCACAUGUAUUCCCUCUCUGUCUUCUUUCUCUCUCACCAACUCCAUGACAUCUGUUGUAAUUUUCAUCAUGUUUGAAAAGGGUUUGCUCACCAACUCCAUGAACUCCCAGAUCUUGCUCCACCAACAGAAAAAUCAGUCUUCUUCUUUGUCUCUCUCGCCAUCCCCAUCAACCGACGACGAGGGUUUGGAGUUCGACAACAUUUGGUCGGAACAACUCAGAUCUGACGUGUUGUUGAUGGUAGAGAGAUAAUGGUUCAAUUCGCUAAGUAUGGACCAAAUGAUGAACGAAUGUAACAAGCAAGAAGUCGGCUACACCGAGAUGUGUGUUUUG